CAGUUAAAUCUGAAUUUCAGAUAAGCAACACAUAACUUUUUAGUGUAAGUAUGUGCCAUGCAAGAUUUAGGACAUACUUAUACUAAAAGGUUAAUUGUUGUUUAUCUGAAAU
rnacentral:miRNA from 1 species